GACGAACGCUGGCGGCGUGCCUAAUACAUGCAAGUAGAACGCUGAAGAGAAGAGCUUGCUCUUCUUGGAUGAGUUGCGAACGGGUGAGUAACGCGUAGGUAACCUGCCUGGUAGCGGGGGAUAACUAUUGGAAACGAUAGCUAAUACCGCAUAAAAUUGAUUAUUGCAUGAUAAUUAAUUGAAAGAUGCAAUUGCAUUACUACCAGAUGGACCUGCGUUGUAUUAGCUAGUUGGUGAGGUAACGGCUCACCAAGGCGACGAUACAUAGCCGACCUGAGAGGGUGAUCGGCCACACUGGGACUGAGACACGGCCCAGACUCCUACGGGAGGCAGCAGUAGGGAAUCUUCGGCAAUGGGGGGAACCCUGACCGAGCAACGCCGCGUGAGUGAAGAAGGUUUUCGGAUCGUAAAGCUCUGUUGUAAGAGAAGAACGGGUGUGAGAGUGGAAAGUUCACACUGUGA
rnacentral:rRNA from 1 species